rnacentral:rRNA from 1 species
CGCGGCCUAUCAGCUUGUUGGUGAGGUAAUGGCUCACCAAGGCGACGACGGGUAGCCGGCCUGAGAGGGUGACCGGCCACACUGGGACUGAGACACGGCCCAGACUCCUACGGGAGGCAGCAGUGGGGAAUAUUGCACAAUGGGCGAAAGCCUGAUGCAGCGACGCCGCGUGAGGGAUGACGGCCUUCGGGUUGUAAACCUCUUUCAGCAGGGAAGAAGCCACAAGUGACGGUACCUGCAGAAGAAGCGCCGGCUAACUACGUGCCAGCAGCCGCGGUAAUACGUAGGGCGCAAGCGUUGUCCGGAAUUAUUGGGCGUAAAGAGCUCGUAGGCGGUUUGUCGCGUCUGCUGUGAAAGCCCGGGGCUUAACCCCGGGUGUGCAGUGGGUACGGGCAGACUAGAGUGCAGUAGGGGAGACUGGAAUUCCUGGUGUAGCGGUGGAAUGCGCAGAUAUCAGGAGGAACACCGAUGACGAAGGCAGGUCUCUGGGCUGUUACUGACGCUGAGGAGCGAAAGCAUGGGGAGCGAACAGGAUUAGAUACCCUGGUAGUCCAUGCCGUAAACGUUGGGCACUAGGUGUGGGGGACAUUCCACGUUUUCCGCGCCGUAGCUAACGCAUUAAGUGCCCCGCCUGGGGAGUACGG